rnacentral:tRNA from 1 species
GGGCCGCUAGCUCAAUUGGCAGAGCAACGGGCUUUUAACCCGGAGGUCGAGGGUUCGAUCCCCUCGCGGCCCA